rnacentral:rRNA from 1 species
GAUGAACGCUGGCGGCGUGCCUAACACAUGCAAGUCGAGCGAUCUUCUUCGGAAGAGAGCGGCGGACGGGUGAGUAACGCGUGGGUAACCUGCCCUGUACACACGGAUAACAUACCGAAAGGUAUGCUAAUACGGGAUAACAUAAGAAAUUCGCAUGUUUUUCUUAUCAAAGCUCCGGCGGUACAGGAUGGACCCGCGUCUGAUUAGCUAGUUGGUGAGGUAACGGCUCACCAAGGCGACGAUCAGUAGCCGACCUGAGAGGGUGAUCGGCCACAUUGGAACUGAGACACGGUCCAAACUCCUACGGGAGGCAGCAGUGGGGAAUAUUGCACAAUGGGCGAAAGCCUGAUGCAGCAACGCCGCGUGAGCGAUGAAGGCCUUCGGGUCGUAAAGCUCUGUCCUCAAGGAAGAUAAUGACGGUACUUGAGGAGGAAGCCCCGGCUAACUACGUGCCAGCCGCCGCCGUAA